rnacentral:tRNA from 1 species
AGUAGUUGCAAAUAGGCAAUUCUUGUUAGACUGUAAAUCUGUCGGCGAUGCCUUCGGUGGUUCGAAUCCACCCUCUUCCACCA